CACGCAACAGGCAACAGUUGAACGGGGAGAGCGCCUCCAAGCAGAGUCUUAUUUGUAUAUCAUCGCAUUAUUUUGUUUGAUUAAAUGCUGUUAACGAUUAUUUAUAUAAGCUUCCUUGGACUCUUUUCAGUUUAUCCUGGUCUCGGGGUUUUAAGAAAUCCUAACACUAGAUUGAUUGUUUAUUUGACUACUGGUGCGAAUUCAUGAAUCUACAUUGAAAUUGAAACAACUAUAAUGCAAAAAUAACACAGUUAGCUAAACAUCUAAUUUGGUCAAAUUUGUCUCAGAUAAAACACACACAAAACAAAACAAAACAAAAAACACAAACAACAGAAAUAAGAAGGACAUACAUUAUAAAUCCCAUUAGGAGAGAAUCAGUUUUCACUCUAUAGUACAAAUACACACAUGCUAGGAUGCUAACACCAAUACAGGUUAGAAGGGUGAGGCGGUUCACCUGACCUCCACCUGGUCUGCAGGAGAGAGAUGUCUCCAUCUGCUCACCACUCCACCUGAGGAAUGUCUUCUGGUUUCGUGGAGCUCUUGGCCUCGCCGCUCCCGACUGAUGAUCAGCCAGAUAGCAUAACCUCCCGACCAAUCAGACGCUCGCAUCUGUACCUCAUCCCGCAGGUCCCUAACAGGGGGACUCACUCCUCAGAACACCAGGCGAUGAAGCACAAGAAGACACUGUGAAGGGAUCAGGCCCUUCAUCCAGGACACGGUUCAACCAUGUACUGCAGCAUGUGCACUUCACUCUGCAUCGGCCAUUUGGCUCAGGCAGUGUACUCCCUCACUGCGAGUUGGUCGCAGCAGUGGAUCACCCCGGCCCUCAGGACAAGGUAAAGAAAAAUCCACGCUGCUGUUAGUGCCGGAGUUACUCUCAGUCCAGCUCACAUAUCAACCCCCUCCACCCUCCAGAGGAGCUUUCAUCCGACUGAUCUUAUCUCACCAGAAAAGGAAAUUGACUUUGAUGACUUCCAUAAGUGAAGGAGAGUGCAGAAUAAAUGUCAUGUCCUUUCUCUUAACCCCCCACCUCCACCACCACCAUGGCUGCUAUCACCCUCUUCACCUGUUUGGUUACCUUCCCCCUACUCCCCCUAUUUUUCAUCUUGACUUUAUCUACAAUAUUUCACUCUUCCUGCUUAUUGUUCUGUUCUCGGAUAUUAAAGAGGCCCUAUUUAUCUCUUUCCUGUAGUGUGUUAUAUAAGUUGCUGUGCAUGUAAAUGGUCUGCAAAGGCUCAAAUCCCAAAGUUCCCUAAAGAGGGAGUUUCUCUCAA